GUUCAACGGCCGCGGUAUCCUAACCGUGCAAAGGUAGCAUAAUCACUUGCCCAUUAAUUGUGGGCUAGAAUGAAAGGACCAACGAAAUAAAGACUGUCUCUGUAAGCAAAUUAAAAAUUAAUCUCUAACUGAAGAGUGUUAGAUUAUGUCGAAGGACAAGAAGACCCUAUAGAGCUUAAUUCUAAUAAAAAUACAUGUUUUAAUAAAAUUCGGUUGGGGCGACCAGGGAAUAAAAAUCAUCCCUAUUCAAAAGAUUUAUAAAUCUUUAAAAUGACCCUUAAACAAGACCAUAAAAACAAGCUACCUUAGGGGUAACAGGCUAAUCCCACUAAAGAGUUCUUAUCAAUAGUGGGGGUUGGCACCUCGAUGUUGGCUUAGGGAAUCUAUACGGCGCAAAAGUCGUAUAAAGAUGGUUUGUUCAACCAAUAACCCCUACAUGAGCUGAGUUCAGACCGGCGUAAGCCAGGUUAGUUUCUAUCCUCGAUAAAAAUACCUAUUUAUAGUACGAAAGGACCUAAAUAAGGGUAACAGUUACAAUAAAAGAAUAAAUAUAAAAAAUUAAUAUUUAGAAGAUUCAUAAACUAUGAUAGUGAGUUGGCAGAAUAGUGCCACAG
rnacentral:rRNA from 1 species